rnacentral:rRNA from 1 species
CCUACGGGCGGCAGCAGUGAGGAAUAUUGGUCAAUGGACGAGAGUCUGAACCAGCCAAGUAGCGUGAAGGAUGACUGCCCUAUGGGUUGUAAACUUCUUUUAUAUUGGAAUAAAAUGUUCCACGUGUGGGAUUUUGUAUGUACCAUAUGAAUAAGGAUCGGCUAACUCCGUGCCAGCAGCCGCGGUAAUACGGAGGAUCCGAGCGUUAUCCGGAUUUAUUGGGUUUAAAGGGAGCGUAGGUGGAUUGUUAAGUCAGUUGUGAAAGUUUGCGGCUCAAACGUAAAAUUGCAGUUGAAACUGGCAGUCUUGAGUACAGUAGAGGUGGGCGGAAUGCGUGGUGUAGCGGUGAAAUGCUUAGAUAUCACGAAGAACUCCGAUUGCGAAGGCAGUUCACUGGACUGCAACUGACACUGAGGCUCGAAAGUGUGGGUAUCAAACAGGAUUAGAUACCCUUGUAGUC